UGCUGCAUGGCUGUCGUCAGCUCGUGCUGUGAAGUGUUGGGUUAAGCCCGCAACGAGCGCAACCCCUGCUAUCUGUUGCCAGCAAGUAAUGUUGGGGACUCAGAUGGAACUGCCGGUGACAAACCGGAGGAAGGUGGGGACGACGUCAAGUCAUCAUGGCCCUUAUGUCCUGAGCUACACACGUGCUACAAUGGCCGGUACAGAGCGCAGCGAAGCCGCGAGGCAAAGCGAAUCGCAAAAAGCCGGUCUCAGUACGGAUUGGAGUCUGAAACCCGACUCCAUGAAGUUGGAAUCGCUAGUAAUCGCGCAUCAGCAUGGCGCGGUGAAUACGUUCCCGGGCCUU
rnacentral:rRNA from 1 species